rnacentral:rRNA from 1 species
AUUGAACGCUGGCGGCAUGCUUUACACAUGCAAGUCGAACGGUAACAGGCCGCAAGGUGCUGACGAGUGGCGAACGGGUGAGUAAUGCAUCGGAACGUGCCCAGUCGUGGGGGAUAACUACUCGAAAGAGUAGCUAAUACCGCAUACGAUCUAUGGAUGAAAGCGGGGGACCGUAAGGCCUCGCGCGAUUGGAGCGGCCGAUGUCAGAUUAGGUAGUUGGUGGGGUAAAGGCUCACCAAGCCAACGACCUGUAGCUGGUCUGAGAGGACGACCAGCCACACUGGGACAGAGACACGGCCCAGACUCCUACGGGAGGCAGCGGUGGGGAAUUUUGGACAAUGGGCGCAAGCCUGAUCCAGCAAUGCCGCGUGCAGGAAGAAGGCCUUCGGGUUGUAAACCGCUUUUGUACGGAACGAAACGGCUCUGGUUAAUACCCGGGGCUAAUGACGGUACCGUAAGAAUAAGCACCGGCUAACUACGUG